rnacentral:rRNA from 1 species
GGGGAAUCUUGCGCAAUGCGCGAAAGCGUGACGCAGCAACGCCGCGUGGGGGAAGAAGGCCUUAGGGUUGUAAACCCCUUUCAGUUGGGACGAAGCUUCGGCGGUUAAUAGCCGUUCGGAGUGACGGUACCUUCAAAAGAAGCCCCGGCUAACUACGUGCCAGCAGCCGCGGUAAUACGUAGGGGGCAAGCGUUGUCCGGAAUCAUUGGGCGUAAAGCGCGUGUAGGCGGCUUGAUAAGUCUGCUGUGAAAGCCCAGGGCUCAACCCUGGGAGGUCAGUGGAUACUGUCAAGCUAGAGUUCGGAAGAGGCAAGUGGAAUUCCUGGUGUAGCGGUGAAAUGCGCAGAUAUCAGGAGGAACACCAACAGCGAAGGCAGCUUGCUGGGACGUAACUGACGCUGAGACGCGAAAGCGUGGGUAGCAAAC